CUAUACAUGCAAGUCGAGCAGAAUGGAUUAAGAGCUUGCUCUUAUGAAGUUAGCGGCGGACGGGUGAGUAACACGUGGGUAACCUGCCCAUAAGACUGGGAUAACUCCGGGAAACCGGGGCUAAUACCGGAUAACAUUUUGAACCGCAUGGUUCGAAAUUGAAAGGCGGCUUCGGCUGUCACUUAUGGAUGGACCCGCGUCGCAUUAGCUAGUUGGUGAGGUAACGGCUCACCAAGGCAACGAUGCGUAGCCGACCUGAGAGGGUGAUCGGCCACACUGGGACUGAGACACGGCCCAGACUCCUACGGGAGGCAGCAGUAGGGAAUCUUCCGCAAUGGACGAAAGUCUGACGGAGCAACGCCGCGUGAGUGAUGAAGGCUUUCGGGUCGUAAAACUCUGUUGUUAGGGAAGAACAAGUGCUAGUUGAAUAAGCUGGCACCUUGACGGUACCUAACCAGAAAGCCACGGCUAACUACGUGCCAGCAGCCGCGGUAAUACGUAGGUGGCAAGCGUUAUCCGGAAUUAUUGGGCGUAAAGCGCGCGCAGGUGGUUUCUUAAGUCUGAUGUGAAAGCCCACGGCUCAACCGUGGAGGGUCAUUGGAUACUGGGAGACUUGAGUGCAGAAGAGAAAAGUGGAAUUCCAUGUGUAGCGGUGAAAUGCGUAAAGAUAUGGAAGAACACCAGAGGCGAAGGCGACUUUCUGGUCUGUAACUGAUACUGAGGCGCCAAAUCCUGGGGAAGCAAACGGGAUAAAAAA
rnacentral:rRNA from 1 species